UAAGGGAGGAUGAGAGAAGCAAAAGACAGACUAAGGCAUUGACUAAGGUCCUGGUCACAACAACAAAUAGGCCAGAAAUUAAGAAACAGGGAGACAGGAAGGGAUACCUGGGCCCACGCCAGAGGCCACCCCUGGCCUCAGAUCAAUAUGCCUACUGUAAAGAAAAAGGAAACUGGGCCAAAGAGUGCCCUAGAAAGAGACAGCCACACCAGCCAGCCAUUCUGACUCUGGAGGAUGACUAGGAAAGUCGGGGCUCGGAUCCCCUCCCCGAGCUCAGGGUAACUUUUGAAGUGGAGGGGACCCCAGUAAACUUUGAAGUGGAUACAGGGGCAAUAUACUCAGCCCUUAAGGUCCCAUUGGGCCCUCUAUCAAAUAAAAGGUCUCUAGUUCAAGGGGCUAACGGCAGUAAAUAUCGGGCUUGGACAACUAAGAGGACCAUGGAC
rnacentral:lncRNA from 1 species